GGAAUGGGAAAUGUGCAAUGAUUUUAAGCAACAUCAAGCGGGACACGAACGCCUGAAUUGUAGUGAUCUGCAGGACCUCUUAUUGGGUUGAGCCUCUUUAGCAUCAUAUUAUCCAAAACGUACACACUGCUGCACGGAUCAUUGGUAAAGAACGUUUAUGGCUAAUAAAACCCCCAAUUUAAGGCCCUAUAAAUAAACCCCCGGUGAUGAAUUGCUCUGUGAUGGCUUUAGAAGCCGUGCUGAAUCAGGGCUGGACUUUCAGCGGUGGUUUGGAGUGUUUAUCCUGGCUCUGAACAGCUAGUUCAUUAUUGCUGAUGCAGAUGAGCUCCUACGGCUUAAAGCAGCAGCGGGUG